rnacentral:rRNA from 1 species
GACGUAGGAUGCAAGCGUUGUCCGGAUUUAUUGGGCGUAAAGAGUUCGUAGGAGGUUCGUUAAGUCUGAUGUUAAAGACUGGGGCUCAACCCUGGAAGUGCAUUGGAUACUGGCGGACUUGAGUGUGGUAGAGGCAAUCGGAAUUCCAGGUGUAGCGGUGAAAUGCGUAGAUAUCUGGAAGAACACCGGUGGCGCAAGCGGAUUGCUGGGCCAUAACUGACACUGAGGAACGAAAGCUAGGGGAGCGAAUGGG